rnacentral:sRNA from 1 species
GUCAAUCACCUCGCGCCUUUCGGACGAGGCUUGUAAAAGCCAGAUCGUUUAGGAUUCGGUUGACCAGCCUAAGCCUUUCGAGGACAACGUUGAUAUCAGGUUAAAGACACACCUUGGAAUACUUCGGAAGUUAAAAGCUCUGU